rnacentral:rRNA from 1 species
UACGUAGGGUCCGAGCGUUAAUCGGAAUUACUGGGCGUAAAGCGUGCGCAGGCGGUCUUGUAAGCCCGAUGUGAAAGCCCCGGGCUCAACCUGGGAACUGCAUUUGGGACUGCAAGGCUGGAGUACGGCAGAGGGAGGUGGAAUUCCACGUGUAGCAGUGAAAUGCGUAGAGAUGUGGAGGAACACCGAUGGCGAAGGCAGCCUCCUGGGCUAGUACUGACGCUCAUGCACGAAAGCGUGGGGAGCAAACAGG